rnacentral:lncRNA from 1 species
UGAGGCCCGGCGGCCGUGCUUGCCAGGAAGGCCCGGGGCUUGAGGCCCUGGAAGGCCUGGCCCGUUCAGGAGUCCCGGCUGUUUGGGGGAAUGUCCCACGCCCUGUGGGGAUUUGAGCCGUGUCUCCCGGCCGACUUGGGUGUCCCGGUUGGUGUGUGUGGGGACUGGGAGGGGCUUGGUGCGGGCGGGAACCGCCGGGUAGCGACCACGUCUCGUCAGGGGGUUCGUGCCUGCUGCUGGGCACGGGAACGGCUCCGGGGGGGUCUUACGGGCGCUGAGGGGAUUCCGCAUCAUGGAGAGGUCAAGGGGAGUUGGUGGCCGUCACCCUUCGUCAGGGCAGGGUGGCAUCAGUGCUCCCGUGCUGGGGUUCCUGGAGAGCCGGCUGGCACGGACAGACUCUUGUGAGGGCAAGUGGCUGAUCGUGCGUCGGAUGGGUCCAGCAAAGGAGAGAAAGCUUCGGUGCGCGCGCGCUCGCCAGGGAAAGGGUGACAGCGGGUGGGACCGAGAGGGAGAGAGAGAGAGGGAGAGAACAAAGGAAGAGAGAGGGUUUCCGCAGGGGCGGUGAGUCCUGGCGGAAGUCCUGAGGCAGAGGAGGUGCCAGGGGUUUGGGUUUCCCGGUCGUGUCGGGGGUGUGGCGCAGGUUGCCCCAGUGGGCCUGAAUGUGCCUCCGUGGGGCACCUUGUUGCCGUGUUGGGGGGCGGGGAGCCGGCCUUGGGGAUCCAUCUUUCGGGCCCUGGGACGUGGGAGAAGAAUGCCGGGGCCUCUCUCUGUGCCCCUGGCACGCCUCUGUGCAGGCCGGGCCUGCACCACCCCCCGCGCCCGUCCCCCAGGCAGGGUCCGUGUGGCUGCAGACACCCAGAGAGAGGGGAGGCUGGGGAGGCUGGGGAGCCGUGGCAGCCCGAUGCAGUGCGGGUCUCCAGGUGGAGGGGCCCUGGUCCCCUGGCGCCAGCGUGGCCCUUCCUCCUUGUGGAAACCCUUGUGGUGUGUGUGCUCUCUCGCCCUGACCCAGGAGAGCAGCAUGGCGGACCCCUGAUCUUGUGGCGUGCCACCGCGCGAGGCCGAGGAGCUCCCGCAGCCCAGUGGGCGUGGCGUCCUUGUCGCGGCUCUGUGGAGACCUGGCGAUGGAGAGCAGCAUGGCGGACCCCUGAUCUUGUGGCGUGCCACCGCGCGAGGCCGAGGAGCUCCCGCAGCCCAGUGGGCGUGGCGUCCUUGUCGCGGCUCUGUGGAGACCUGGCGAUGGAGAGCAGCAUGGCGGACCCCUGAUCUUGUGGCGUGCCACCGCGCGAGGCCGAGGAGCUCCCGCAGCCCAGUGGGCGUGGCGUCCUUGUCGCGGCUCUGUGGAGACCUGGCGAUGGUGAGCGGCCCCUGUCCUCAGUGGUGGAGAACUCGCCCUUGGGGCGCUCGUCUGUCCGGAGCCCCGGGCCAGCCCCGCUUCUCGCGGGCUUUGGCCCCGGCAGGCCAGCUCCGGGGGCGUGAGGGGGAGCGUCCCGUCCUGCCCAGUGGCUCGUCUGUCUGGGCACGCCCCCAAACGCUGCCGUGAUGGAGCGGGUGGGAUCUCCAGGUGCGGAGGCCGUGAAUUUGCCUUGCGGCGGCGGAGCCCGUGCUCGGAUCGAUGAUGACUCCCUCUAAAGCAUUCCUUGGAAAUCUGAACAAAAUGAGUGAGAACUCACUACCGUCUCCUCAUCGAAACUGAGGUCCGGCACGUGGCGGCCACCGGGGGCUCGGGGGUAGAUGGGCCCUUGGCCUUGGGGCCUCUGGUGUCAGCAGCCACUCGGUGAGGUCUGGGGAAGGCGGCCGCCUGCCGGGCCCAGGAAGCAUGGGGCCCGUGCCCGCGCUGGCCUCGGGGGAGAGCCGCGUGCCCGAGCGUGCUGGAGAUCCCGGGCGGCCUCCCGCCGGCCUUGGGGGGUUUCGCAAGCCGUCGCGGGGGCCGAAAUUUGGGCCCGGCCGCGAGGCAAGUGUGCGGCCCUAGGGCCCCAGGGGGCGUCCUGGCCCAGGCCGGGCGCCCUUCUCAGGAUGCUGUGGGGAGACGGGAUCCCGGCAGGGUAGUGUUCUCUUUCUGCUCUGGGGACCCCUGAGGGCCACCUGCUGCAGGGGGUCUGUGGUAGCGGGGGCCC